AAUAAGUGCAGUUUUGCAUUUUUCAUAUCCAAUGUUUGACCGUUCAUCUUAUUUAAAAUGUUUUUAUGAUUAGUAUUUUCAUUGUUAUUGGAUGAUAAAACAUGAAUAGUACUUUAUGUGUGACUAUUUUUUUUAUUUUUUUCAUAAAUUUUUCAAAUAAGACGGA
rnacentral:pre_miRNA from 1 species